GCCCUGAUGUUCCAGCGGUAAAGAUGCCUCCCUGUCAAGGAAGCGAGCGGAGUUCAACUCUCCGUCAGGGCG
rnacentral:tRNA from 1 species